rnacentral:siRNA from 1 species
CACAAUGGAGUUCAUCACCAAGUG